rnacentral:lncRNA from 1 species
AGUUAGUUAUGAAUUAAGAAGAGAAAUUGAUCAAAUCGGAAAAUAAAAUGAAGUUACAUCACUUCCGUCAUGAAGUUGCAUCGCUCCGACGUCAGGUGGCCUACGGCCAGAGCUGCGUGAAGUCGGAGAGUCACUACAGAGUCGUCGUGUCGAGCGGACGUGUACUGCCGUUCUAGUCGGGCAGUCUACCGCGAACCAUCGUCAUGAGCGGACGUGUCGAAUAAUUACGAGGAGUGCUAUAGUCGCUCACCUAUAACUUGUAGGGACGUCAAGAAAGUGUGAUCGGAAAAGAGCACGUGUCCCGAUGCUUCGGUCCGAAUAUAGGAACCAUGGGUGGUGGAGGGCAAGUAGAGGGCGAGUAGCCCCUUCGCGCUAACGUCCUUAUGCGCGCUAGAUAACGUGAGACUGUGUAACCGUUACGAAUACCGUGACGUUGCCGUGAGUGUGUACCUUGUGCUGUGACUUUAUUUAAUCGUGAUACAAAAACUAUGUGGAAGUAAAUAAAAUGAUUGUGAUACUGAUGACGGCCAUUAUUGUCUUCUAACGCCCACCCUCCUUUCUGAUGAUGAUGUUACGACCUCACUGUUACGACAUCAGAAGCGGGAUUAGUGGACUUGGAUGAAGACAACGUGAUGCGACGUUCACAACAAGACAAUGCAAGUUUCGAUUAUCACAAUCAGAAGAAGAUUAUGAUGAUUAUCACAUUCGUGUGACCACGUGAUGAAGAUGUAGUGUCAUGCCUAAAUUUGGAGAUGGACCUGACUUUGAAGUGACCUGGACCUUGUUAAUGAUCGGCAUCACUACAUGCCGUAAGAUAUGAUGGCGUGAACAUCACAAUAUUUCCAUAAUGUGUGUAGUCGUGUUUGGAAAUUAUAGUACCUCAACUUGGAAACUGUUAUAACGGUGAGUCGUUUUCAUACUGGAACCUUAUUGUUUUUUUACUUCAUUGCUAUGUGAAUUUUCGUUUCUAAUAAUGAGGAAAUUGAUUUAAAAUUAACUUGGAAAUUACUAUUUCCCUUUGUUUAAAAAGAAAAUUGACGAGACAUAUUGUGUCAAUCCGUGUCAAUCAUACCGCGUUUUCCAAUCUGUUUUCAUCAUCGUCAAAUCUUUGUAUUUUGGUCUAAAAAUAUUUCGAAUUGGUGUAGACACGCUUAACCUGGGUGGUUAAAGUUGUAUUUUCUCAAUCCAUGCGAAAAGAAAUUAAUCAUGACAUGAUAAUUGAGUCUCGAUAAAUAACGUGUUUUGUAAUCUACCGUCAUUCAUCAAAUGUUUCAAAAUUCAACAUUCUUUAUUGAAAUCUUUUUAAACCGGUUGAAAGAAAGUCACUUGAAUACGAUAAUACAGUGAAUUCUUUUGUUUCAUGUCAUAACUUGCCACGUGGUACGGCAACUGGUGGAUUGCAAGCGGCGAUGUAAGUGGUGCGGGCUGAGCUGUAGCCGUGUAAAGUGAUGUUAUCAUGGCAGCGCGUUGUAUACCAGCCGGACUUGCUGCGCUGAUGCUGUUGAAGACCUAAACCAUGUCACAAGACCAGUGGUUGAUCUUUUAUUGGAAAUUCUUAUAAGUCCUGGUGAGUCGUAUCUGUUUUACCUGAUUUGAAAGAUGGGAAGUUUUAAUAGGAUUCAAAUGAAUAUAGUGCAAAAAGUUAUCUUUUGUUAACUUUAGUUAAAUCAGAAAUCGUAAUGAAUUGAAGUAAACAUUCUGAAGUAAAAUGAUUUGGAUUAUGAUUACUUAAAUGAAAUAGGCUUAGAAAAUGCCCGAAACAGUAAAUCAUUAGUGAGAAAAUUGGAGCAAAACAUUCUAAAUAAUGAUAAUACCGAAUUGGUAAUUGUUUAAGUGCGGUAAUAUUUCCUCGAGGUGUUGGUCGCUACAUUGUGACUUUAUGACUUGUGUGUGUGAAAGCAGGGUGCUCUGUCGUUUUGUGGUCGUGGACCAUGGUGGCCAUCCCGGGAGGGGAUGUUGUGACUCAUGACUGUUUUGUAGCGUAACCGCAGUUUGGGGAGGAAUAUUACAGUCUGUUGUGCUUUGCAGUAGAUGUGUAAUGUUGGUUGAUUUAAUUGAGUAAUGAAAGCUAUGAUUGACCUGUUUCGGAGCAACUCUGAUAGGAAGCUGUGCACUUGUAGUGUUCGGGGCUGCAGCCACUUUUGUGCUGCUCGUCUUAGAAACUACAGGUAUGCGGUCGAGGCCUGGAUGUCAUGUUGACUUGGUAUUUGGUCAUGACAUUGUACCUGAAUCUAAGUCAAGUUGACCUCCGGUAGAAUUAGUCGAACUGCACAAAUUAGAAAUUAGUGAUAUAAAAGAAAUUGUGUAACGCAUUGACCACUAUUCUACCAACUAAGAUGUAAAGUUUGUGUGCUAGCUGUGUUGAGAUAUCGUCACUUGGUGUAAGUGGCAUGAGUUGCUGUCGCUCGAUUUAGGUGGCAGUGACGACUGUGUUGAGAUAUCGUCACUUGGUGUAAGUGGCAUGAGUUGCUACCGCUCGAUUUAGGUGGUAGUGACGCCUGGUUGCGAGAUAUCGUCACUCAGUAGAGUGGCACGAGUUGCUACCGCUCGAUUUAGGUGGUAGUGACGCCUGGUUGUUAGAUAUCGUCACUCAGUAGAGUGGCAUGAGUUGCUACCGCUCGAUUUAGGUGGUAGUGACGCCUGGUUGUUAGAUAUCGUCACUCAGUAGAGUGGCAUGAGUUACUAUCGCUCGUUUAGGUGAUAGUAACGACAGACGUGUAAAGAGUAAUUGGAUUUUCAAGUUUGGUUGUUUAUAGUGUGUGAAUACUGGUCAAUGGUCCGUUUACCGUGUCGGAGUAGUUGAUUUAUCAUGAUGUAAUGUGAACUCGUGUAGAGUCACGAGUAGAGCUCAUGUAGAGUCACGAGUAGAGCUCAUGUAGAGUCACGAGUAGAGCUCGUGUAGAGUCACGAGUAGAGCUCGUGUAGAGUCACGAGUAGAGCUCAUGUAGAGUCACAAGUAGAGCUCAUGUAGAGUCACAAGUAGAGCUCAUGUAGAGUCACAAGUAGAGCUCAUAUAGAGUCACAAGUAGAGCUCAUGUAGAGUCACAAGUAGAGCUCAUGUAGAGUCUCAUGUUAGGUCAGGAAUGACCGAGCGAACUUGGAUACUGUGCUGUGGUAUAUUGUUUCAGAUUAACACACGAGGACGUGUGUCACGCAGGAUGGCCGUGUCGGAGUUAGUUAUGAAUUAAGAAGAGAAAUUGAUCAAAUCGGAAAAUAAAAUGAAGUUACAUCACUUCCGUCAUGAAGUUGCAUCGCUCCGACGUCAGGUGGCCUACGGCCAGAGCUGCGUGAAGUCGGAGAGUCACUACAGAGUCGUCGUGUCGAGCGGACGUGUACUGCCGUUCUAGUCGGGCAGUCUACCGCGAACCAUCGUCAUGAGCGGACGUGUCGAAUAAUUACGAGGAGUGCUAUAGUCGCUCACCUAUAACUUGUAGGGACGUCAAGAAAGUGUGAUCGGAAAAGAGCACGUGUCCCGAUGCUUCGGUCCGAAUAUAGGAACCAUGGGUGGUGGAGGGCAAGUAGAGGGCGAGUAGCCCCUUCGCGCUAACGUCCUUAUGCGCGCUAGAUAACGUGAGACUGUGUAACCGUUACGAAUACCGUGACGUUGCCGUGAGUGUGUACCUUGUGCUGUGACUUUAUUUAAUCGUGAUACAAAAACUAUGUGGAAGUAAAUAAAAUGAUUGUGAUACUGA